rnacentral:rRNA from 1 species
UACGUAGGGACCGAGCGUUGUCCGGAAUCAUUGGGCGUAAAGAGCGUGUAGGCGGCCAGGUAGGUCCGUUGUGAAAACUGGAGGCUUAACCUCCAGCGGUCGAUGGAAACCAUCUGGCUAGAGUCCGGAAGAGGAGAGUGGAAUUCCUGGUGUAGCGGUGAAAUUCGUAGAUAUUCGGAGGAACACCAGUGGCGAAGGCGGCUCACUGGUCCAUUACUGACGCUGAGGUGCGAAAGCGUGGGGAGCAAACAGG